GUGGACGUCGCAAAGAAUGUGUGUUAGCGCGCCUCAGCUCGUCCACUACGCAGCGGCAUGUAUGCGGGGAGUAACAUCGUCGACGCAGCACCGGCAACUUGGAGAGUGCUUCGCGACCGCGUCGUACCAUUCAAAAGUGGCGAGGCUGUGACCCAUAACAGUGCCUACAUAACGGAGGAGCCACCAGACCCCUUGGCUAUGCCUGCCGUAGUGCAACGUAUAAUCUGGAUGGUCGGGUCAGGUACACCUAGGAAAUGUUGUAUACAUUGGCAACGAUAACUGGGGCCUGUUCCAGUGCCAUCGCCGGGAUUCCCUGUUCUGCAAAGAACUGACAUAACUGAUGUGGGGAGCCCUGGCGCUCGGUGUAGGAGUAUCACAGGGGCUCCUUGUCGAUGCUUGAAGGACGGCAAUGCUGUUGAGAAGCCGACAUUGAGCCCCGAUAAAUUGGAAGCUGUGGGUAGUUACCGCAUUAUUGACUUGGAAACCAGUGAGGUCUGGAUGCAAGUGAAGCUACCGAGGGAGGCAUGUGUGCAUCACUUGUGCUGCUGGCCAUCCUCUGCAAAAGUGAUGGCUGGCAGUCAGUGCUUGGAUGACUUUCUGUUACUCUACGCCUUGGGCUGUGUUGACUACUUCACACUUGCUGCCAUGUCUGCAAGCUUAGGCAAAAAGACCGGCUGGAUGCUUGGCAGGAGAUAGUAUCCAACCGCAGUGUUACUGUGUUGUGUUGUACAUUACAAAGUGAUGGAGGACAGUAUUUGUGCUGUUAUUAAGAAGUAUAAAUUGUGUUCUGCCAUUGAAAUAAGGGAACUCGACACAAAGCAAAAGAUUUCGAAGUCUGACCUACAUGGGAAAGCAAAAUAUAUUGUGUUGUAGUUGUAGCUGUUAGUAGAGUCUUAAUAUGCGAUAGAAGACCUUGAUGUUUAAUAGAAAAUAUAUUUAAGUGUGUUAUCAGUGUGUUAUCAGUGUUUAAGUUACUGUUAUGUGUCAUUUGUUUGCCAGGAUGAUGUAAGCAGACAGUAAAUAAAUGCAUGGUUUGAGAUUAUAACCAGGUUUGUCUAUGGCAUUCACUAUUAUUUAAGGUGGACCAAUGCAUAUUCAUGGGUGCAUAUUCAACCACCACAUUCCUCCUGCACAAACAAUUCCUACAUACUAGCGUUUGGUCUUAGCAGCUGAUGUUGGCUAUUAUACAAUUUCUUGAAAGCACAUGCAGCUACCGACACAUGAUUUUUAGAGCAGUAAGUCGGAAGCAAAGACUGAUUUUUUUCUGUGGUCUAAGCUUAAAUGAUAUGUUUAAGGAAAGGAACAUUUGUGGAAUAUAUUUACUUUCCUGCUGCGAGAACCUUUAUACGAGAACCUCUGCACAUUGGACGUGCAUGCUGCUUCUCUUGCUGUUAUAGCCAAAAUGAAAAAUUGUUCUUAUGAACCACUUCGCAGCUUUGCAUUGUGCACUUUUACUUGCAGUUAGCAUUUAUAUGCUGUGCUAUGGACAACAGCAAGACAAGUCAGGCAAACCACCAUGUGAAACACUUUAAAGAUUCUGCCUUAGGGCGCGUUGGUACUAUAUAUAGUGCAAGACAGAUGAGCUGCCCGUACAGCAGCGCUGUCAGCAUUACACGGCUGACAGCACCGCAAACCCUUAAAUUUAUAUUUGUUUGACAGAUAAUGCAUUCUAGUAGUUUUCAUGUCGUAUAUGCAAGAAAAUGUAAACAAGAACUGGUGAAAACAGCAUUAUUUUACGUGUAUAGUGUACCUUACCACAAGGUAAGGUACACAGAUAUCUUGGUAAGCUACACAAGAUAUAUACGUAAUAAACGCUGUUUUUCACUAAUUCUUGUUUCACAUUUUCAUGCAUAUGCAACAUGAAAACUACUAGAGUAAAUUAUCUGUCAAGCAAAUAUAAAUUUAAGGGUUUGCGGUGCUGUCAGCCGUGUCAUGCUGACAGCACUGCUGUUAUGCAUGUCUACAAAUAUUCUGCAAUGUCAGUUGAGUGUUGCUUGAACGUCACAUACGUACGUUGCCUGAAAGCUCAAGUGACAAAGGCAACAUCCACAUUACGUUGCCAGGAAGUUCUGUUAACGUUAUGUUAACGUCGUGAAUGUGCGGCUCAACGCUGCCACAACGUUACGACCCAACGUUGUGUGGCGAUCAAAAAAGAGGACAUUAGCAGCAUGUAGGCAACGUUAUACGCCGACA